GCCUUUGUGGUGCAGUGGUCAGCACGCUCGGCGCGUAACCGAGUGGUCUGUGGUUCGAUUCCCGGCGAAAGCU
rnacentral:tRNA from 1 species